rnacentral:rRNA from 1 species
UACGGGAGGCAGCAGUGGGGAAUAUUGCACAAUGGGCGCAAGCCUGAUGCAGCCAUGCCGCGUGUAUGAAAAAGGCCUUCGGGUUGUAAAGUACUUUCAGUCGUGAGGAAGGUGUUAAGGUUAAUAACCUUAGCAAUUGACGUUAGCGACAGAAGAAGCACCGGCUAACUCCGUGCCAGCAGCCGCGGUAAUACGGAGGGUGCGAGCGUUAAUCGGAAUUACUGGGCGUAAAGGGCACGCAGGCGGUUAAUUAAGUUGGAUGUAAAAUCCCCGGGCUUAACCUGGGAAUGGCAUUCAAGACUGGUUAGCUAGAGUCUUGUAGAGGGGGUAGAAUUCCAUGUGUAGCGGUGAAAUGCGUAGAGAUGUGGAGGAAUACCGGUGGCGAAGGCGGCCCCUGGACAAAGACUGACGCUCAUGUGCGAAAGCGUGGGGAGCAAACAGGGAUUAGAUACC